AACUUUUGGCAACGGAUCACUUGGUUCUGGCAUCGAUGAAGAACGCAGCGAAAUGCAAUAAGUAAUGCGAAUUGCAGAAUUCAGUGAGUCAUCGAAUCUUUGAACGCAUAUUGCGCCCUUUGGUAUUCCGAAGGGCAUGCCUGUUCGAGCGUCAUUAUCAACCAUCAAGCCUGGCUUGUCGUUGGACCCCUUUGUCGUUGAAAUAUAUGAUAGGUCCGAAAGAUAAUGACGGCGUCGUGUUUGACCCUAGAUGCAACGAGCUUUUUAUAGCACGCAUUGAAGUGGUCGGCCGACCCAGUCUUUAACCAUCAUUUUCUAAGGUUGACCUCGGAUCAGGUAGGAAUACCCGCUGAACUUAAGCAUAUCAAUAAGCGGAGGCU
rnacentral:misc_RNA from 1 species